GGGGUUGUGGCUCAGUGGUAAAGCACUCACCUAGCAAGUGCGAGGCUCUGGGUUCAAACUCAGCACCA
rnacentral:tRNA from 1 species